AACGAACGCUGGCGGCGUGCCUAACACAUGCAAGUCGAACGGGAAAACCCGCAAGGGUGCGUACAGUGGCGCACGGGUGCGUAACACGUGGGUAAUCUGCCCAGAAGCCCGGAAUAACUCCCCGAAAGGGGUGCUAAUGCCGGAUGAGACCACGGGGACUUCGGUUCCUGGGGGAAAAGGUGGCCUCUGUAUACAAGCUAUCACUUCUGGAUGAGCCCGCGGCCCAUCAGCGAGUUGGCGGGGUAAUGGCCCACCAAGGCUACGACGGGUAGCUGGUCUGAGAGGACGAUCAGCCACACUGGAACUGAGACACGGUCCAGACUCCUACGGGAGGCAGCAGUGGGGAAUCUUGCGCAAUGGGCGAAAGCCUGACGCAGCAACGCCGCGUGUGUGAUGAAGGUCUUCGGAUCGUAAAGCACUGUCGGGAGGGACGAAUAAGGGCCGGGUGAACAAUCCGGUUCGACGACGGUACCUCCAGAGGAAGCACCGGCUAACUCUGUGCCAGCCGCCGCUGUAACAC
rnacentral:rRNA from 1 species